AUACGUAGGUGGCAAGCGUUGUCCGGAUUUAUUGGGCGUAAAGCGAGUGCAGGCGGUUUCUUAAGUCUGAUGUGAAAGCCUUCGGCUUAACCGAAGAAGGGCAUCGGAAACUGGGGAACUUGAGUGCAGAAGAGGAGAGUGGAACUCCAUGUGUAGCGGUGAAAUGCGUAGAUAUAUGGAAGAACACCAGUGGCGAAGGCGGCUCUCUGGUCUGUAACUGACGCUGAGGCUCGAAAGCGUGGGUAGCAAACAGGAUUAGAUACCCUGGUAGUCCACGCCGUAAACGAUGAGUGCUAAGUGUUGGGGGGUUUCCGCCCCUCAGUGCUGCAGCUAACGCAUUAAGCACUCCGCCUGGGGAGUACGACCGCAAGGUUGAA
rnacentral:rRNA from 1 species